AUGAAGACAAGGAUUUUAGGUCCCUUCAGUUCAACCUCUCCAUUUGGCCUCACUUGUUGCCUGCAUCUCCACCCUGUACAGUUCCACCAUGGUGCGCAAAGUGGCAGUGAUCGGUGCAGGCCCGUCGGGUCUGAGUGCGAUCAAGGCUUGUCUGGAGGAAGACUUGCAGCCAACCUGCUUCGAGAGUAGCGACGACUUAGGAGGACUAUGGAAGUUCAAGGAGGUGUCUGAGCCCAACCGCGCCAGCAUCUACCGCUCCCUCACCAUCAACAUCUCCAAGGAGAUGAUGUGCUACAGCGACUUCCCCAUCCCGGCUGACUACCCCAACUACAUGCACCACUCCAAGAUCCUCAACUACUUCCGCCUGUACGCCGACCACUUCAAACUGCUGCAGCACAUCCGCUUCCAGACUGCGGUGAAGAGCGUCAAGCCGAGGUCGGACUACGCUCGCACGGGCAAGUGGGAGGUCGUGACGGAGAACCAAGACGGGAAGGAGGAGACGCACGUGUUCGACGCCGUCAUCUGCUGCUCGGGACACUACACCUACCGCAACUUGCCCCUGCAGGACUUCCCGGGACUGGAUACGUUCCAGGGCCGCUACUUUCACAGCUGGGACUACAAGGGCCCCGAGGACAUGCACGGCAAGCGCCUGGUGGUCGUGGGCAUCGGCAACUCGGGCAGCGACAUCGCCGUGGAGAGCAGCAAGUUCGCCGAGCAGGUGUACAUGAGCACCCGGCGCGGGGCCUGGGUGAUCCGCCAGGUGUCCGACGAUGGCCUGCCAGUGGACAUGAAGUACAACACGCGCUUUGUGCACAUCCUGUUCCAGCUCUUCCCCAUCAACUUCUUCAACUGGUUCGGCGAGAAUAAGCUCAACGCCAUGUACGACCACACCAUGUACGCCCUCAAACCCAACCACAGGCUUUUCAGUCAGAUCCCUGUGAUCAACGACGACCUGCCUUUCAAGAUCCUGUCGGGCUCGGUGAUCAUCAAGCCCAACGUGGAGGAGAUCCGCGACUCCUCUGUGCUCUUUGAGGACGGCAGUGUCGUGGAGAAGGUGGAUACCAUCGUGUUCGCCACAGGUUACAAUUACGACUUCCCGUACUUGCCCGCCAACGCUCUCUACAAGUCGGGCCACCGCGUGGGUCUUUACAAGCACGUGUUCCCUCCCAACUUGGAUCACCCCACCCUGGCCGUGGUGGGCUUCAUCCACGCCCUGGGAGCCAUCAUGCCGCAGGCCGAGAUGCAGGCGCGCUGGGUUGUGCAUGUCUUAAAAGGGCAAAAGAAGCUGCCUUCAAAGCAGGCCAUGGUGAAGGCUGUGGAAAAGGACACCAAACAGAUGGAGCAAAGCUACAUCGUGUCCAAGCUGGCGCCCCUCCAGGUGGACUUCGUCUCCUACAUGGACGACCUGGCGGGCGAGAUCGGGGCUCGGCCCAGCCUGCUGUGGCUCCUCCUCACCGACUACACGCUGUUCAAGCAGGUCCUGUGGGGGCCCGUCACCGCCUACCAGUACCGCCUGACGGGGCCCGGCAAGUGGGAGGGUGCCCGGCAGGCCAUCCUCACCCAGUUCCAACGCAUGUUCCAGCCCCUCAAGACCAGGAAGUGUUUUGUAGCAAAACGCAGUGGUCAUUGACGACCUACCGGCUCGGAUCAUCUGCGGUCGCAUUCGGUUGAAGGCCAACGUCAAGGAGUUCCGUGGAUCCACUUUGGUCUUUGCCGACAGCAGUGAAAUAGAUAAGUACAACAAAAGGGUGCAAAAAUCCAGGAUCAGAACAAAAAUGAAGGGCGAGACAGGACAAUAUUAAGCAAGCCGUAAGCUAUCCAUGGGCUGGGGUCUCUCACGCCGUUGGCCGAGAUGCAGGCCCGCUGGGCUACCAGAGUUUUUAAAGGUUUCUCAAAUUUGGCGAGUGUGUGACGGAAGAGGAGGAGAUGCAGUUCUGAGAGGAGUGACCCGAGUCCGCCCAAGUUCCACGGGUUUUCUUCGUUUGAAACUUGUAUUUUUUAAGUUAAAAAUGUUGUGCCCACACCCGUCUAAAUAUUGGCAAGAGAUCUGCUCCACUUUGUCUACAAUCCUGGAUGUACUGGUUUCUCCGAACCCCUUCACAGCUAUUUGUGGUGUGGUAUUGCCCCCACUCGGCCUCUCCUGAAAGCAAAAAGACAACAUGGCCUUUGUCACCCUUCUGGCCCAAUGGCAAAUUUUGUUGAGGUGGAAAUCCAUCCCACCUGCUCUGCCCACACAAUAGCGAAAGGAUAUCUUGCUUUUUUUUCUUUUGUUUUGAACACUUGAAACAAUUAGGGUGUCGAUCUGCGGACGAUCAGAAAAGUUCAAUAUUUUUGUUUGGUGGUGUGCCAUGAAAUUUUUCUUAAGUAAAAUAUGGGCCUCAAUGUAAUAUGUAUCUUUUUGACUAUUCAGAAAAAGAGGUUGGCAAACUUUUGUCCUCAAGGGCCACAUUUGAUCUUUAAUUGAAAAGAUGGGCCAGGUCAUUCGUAAUAAUAAUAGUAAUAAUAUUUUUUAAUAAUUUACAUCAGACAAACAAUCUCAAAGUGCUACAGUGCAUCAUUAAAAGAGAUCAUGCUUGGAAC